rnacentral:rRNA from 1 species
CGACACCGUGAGGUAGAGCAAAUCACAAAAACUCGGUCUCAGUUCAGAUUGCAGGCUGCAACUCGCCUGCAUGAAGUUGGAAUUGCUAGUAAUCGCGAAUCAGAAUGUCGCGGUGAAUACGUUCCCGGGCCUUGUACACACCGCCCGUCACACCAUGAGAGUCGAUAACACCCGAAGCCUGUGAGCUAACCGUAAGGAGGCAGCAGUCGAAGGUGGGGUUGAUGAUUGGGGUGAAGUCGUAACAAGGUACC